rnacentral:tRNA from 1 species
GUUUGAAUAGUUUAAUUAAAACGCCGGUUUGUGGUGCCGUAAAUGUGAAAGUUCACUUUAAACC